ensembl:misc_RNA
AGGCGGCGGGCGUGGUGCUUCGGCCAGAGCCGAGAGGCUCUGGCGACGGCGGGACCGUGAGGUGGGUUGGGCGGGUGGACUGCGUGGAGUUCGGCUUUGCAGGGAGGCGCGGACAGCUCAGGGCUGCAGUCCACCCCGCCAGGUCCCCGCGCACAAAGCUGCGCGCCUUGCAGCCGCCCUCUGCCCGGUUUUGCGCUCCCGA